GACGAACGCUGGCGGCGUGCUUAACACAUGCAAGUCGAACGGAAAGGCCCCUUUGGGGGUACUCGAGUGGCGCACGGGUGAGUAACACGUGAGUAACCUGCCCUUGAAUUCGGGAUAACUUCAGGAAACUGGGGCUAAUACCGGAUAGGAAUCCUUGCUGCAUGGUGGGGGUUGGAAAGCUUCGGCGGUUUUGGAUGGACUCGCGGCUUAUCAGCUUGUUGGUGGGGUAGUGGCUUACCAAGGCUUUGACGGGUAGCCGGCCUGAGAGGGCGACCGGCCACAGUGGGACUGAGAUACGGCCCAGACUCCGACGGGAGGCAGCAGUGGGGAAUAUUGCACAAUGGGCGGAAGCCUGAUGCAGCAACGCCGCGUGCGGGAUGACGGCCUUCGGGUUGUAAACCGCUUUCAGCAGGGGCGAAGCUUGUGGUGACGGUACCUGCAGAAGAAGCACCGGCUAACUACGUG
rnacentral:rRNA from 1 species